GACGAACGCUGGCGGCGUGGAUUAGGCAUGCAAGUCGAACGGUAUCAUCCUUUCGGGGGUGAGAGAGUGGCGAACUGGUGAGUAACACGUAGGUUAUCUACCCUCAAGACGGGGACAACCCAGGGAAACUUGGGCUAAUACCGGAUGUGAGCAACUUUUAGUUGUUUGAAAGGUGGCGUAAGCUGUCGCUUGGGGAUGAGCCUGCGUCCUAUUAGUUAGUUGGUGAGGUAACGGCUCACCUAGGCAAUGAUAGGUAGGCGGCCUUAACGGGUGGUCGCCCACACUGGGAUUGAGAUACGGCCCAGACUCCUACGGGAGGCAGCAGUCGAGAAUAGUCUACAAUGGUCGGAAGACUGAUAGUGCGACGCCGCGUGAACGAUGAAUCCCUUCGGGGUGUAAAGUUCUUUUAUAUGUGAGCAGUGCUUCUUAUAUUAACAGUAUGGGGAGAGAGAUAUUAGCAUAUGAAUAAGCAACGGCUAACUCCGUGCCAGCAGCCGACGGUAAACUCGUA
rnacentral:rRNA from 1 species